GUGCCGGCAGCCGCGGUAAUACGGAGGGUGCGAGCGUUAAUCGGAAUUACUGGGCGUAAAGCGUACGCAGGCGGUCUGUUAAGUUAGAUGUGAAAUCCCCGGGCUUAACCUGGGAACUGCAUUUAAAACUGGCAGGCUAGAGUCUCGGAGAGGGGGGUGGAAUUCCAGGUGUAGCGGUGAAAUGCGUAGAGAUCUGGAGGAAUACCGGUGGCGAAGGCGGCCCCCUGGACGAAGACUGACGCUCAGGUACGAAAGCGUGGGGAGCAAACAGGAUUAGAAACCUGGUAGUCC
rnacentral:rRNA from 1 species